AUGAGCCGAAGGCUCUUCCUCAGGAUUGUGAAUGCCAUCCGGGAGUUCGACAAUUACUUCAUUUGCAAGAAGGAUUGCACCAGCACAGUUGGAUUCUCCUCACUCCAGAAGUGCACGAGAGAUAUGAGGAUGCUUGCAUACGGAGCUCCCGGUGAUAUACUGGAAGACUAUGGACGCAUGGCCGAGUCCACCACCAUUGAGUGUUUGUACAAGUGCUACAGGGUAGUGGUGGCAGUGUUUGGACCACAAUACUUGCGAUCACCCAAUUCUAAAGACACUGAUCGGAUCCUAGCACAGAAUGCAGCAAGAGGAUUUCCUGGGGUUGCUUGGAAGCAUCGACUGCAUGCAUUGGGCAUGGAAAAACUGUCCAUUUGCUUGGCAGGGGAUGUACAAAUGCGCCAAAGGAGCUUGCAGUGUGGUACUUGA
rnacentral:rRNA from 1 species